CCUACGGGUGGCAGCAGUGGGGAAUAUUGGACAAUGGGGGGAACCCUGAUCCAGCGACGCCGCGUGAGUGAAGAAGUAUUUCGGUAUGUAAAGCUCUAUCAGCAGGGAAGAAAGAAAUGACGGUACCUGACUAAGAAGCCCCGGCUAACUACGUGCCAGCAGCCGCGGUAAUACGUAGGGGGCAAGCGUUAUCCGGAUUUACUGGGUGUAAAGGGAGCGUAGACGGCGAUGCAAGUCUGAAGUGAAAGGCGGGGGCCCAACCUCCGGACUGCUUUGGAAACUGUAUGGCUGGAGUGAAGGAGAGGUAAGUGGAAUUCCUAGUGUAGCGGUGAAAUGCGUAGAUAUUAGGAGGAACACCAGUGGCGAAGGCGGCUUACUGGACUGUAACUGACGUUGAGGCUCGAAAGCGUGGGGAGCAAACAGGAUUAGAUACCCCGGUAGUC
rnacentral:rRNA from 1 species